AGCGAACGCUGGCGGCAGGCUUAACACAUGCAAGUCGAGCGCCCCGCAAGGGGAGCGGCAGACGGGAGAGUAACACGUGGGAACGUGCCCUUUAGUUCGGAACAACCCAGGGAAACUUGGGCUAAUACCGAAUACGCCCUUACGGGGAAAGAUUUAUCGCUAAAGGAUCGGCCCGCGUCUGAUUAGCUUGUUGGUGAGGUAAUGGCUCACCAAGGCGACGAUCAGUAGCUGGUCUGAGAGGAUGAUCAGCCUCACUGGGACUGAGACACGGCCCAGACUCCUACGGGAGGCAGCAGUGGGGAAUAUUGGACAAUGGGGGCAACCCUGAUCCAGCCAUGCCGCGUGAGUGAUGAAGGCCUUAGGGUUGUAAAGCUCUUUCGUCAGGGAAGAUAAUGACGGUACCUGAAGAAGAAGCCCCGGCUAACUUCGUGCCAGCCGCCGCGGUAACAC
rnacentral:rRNA from 1 species